UGUUGUGUAGCUCGUCAGGCUCAUAACCUGAAGGUCGCACGUUCAAAUCGUGCCCCCGCAA
rfam:Acidocella sp. MX-AZ02 genomic scaffold Contig8, whole genome shotgun sequence.